AGUGAGAAGCAAUGUUUGUGUUUAGUUUCGGCCUAAAAGAGUGGAGAGAUCCCUU
rnacentral:tRNA from 1 species